AUGCCUUCUUUAGAUAUCCUGAAACCAGUUAGUUCAAAAGUUGCAGGGUAUCUGUUCUCCACUUCCUUCAACGAGGCCACCAUCAACCGCCAGAUCAACCUGGAGCACUAUGCCUCCUACCUCUAUCUGUCCAUGUCUUAUUACUUUGACUGUGAUGAUAUGGCUUUGAAGAAUUUUGCCAAAUACUUUCUUCACCAAUCUCAUGAGGAGAAAGAACAUGCUGAGAAACUGAUGAAGCUGCAGAACCAACGAGGUGGCCGAAUCUUCCUUCAGGACAUCCAGAAACCAGACCAUGAUGAUUGGGAGUGCGGGCUGUAUGCAAUGGAGUAUGCGUUGUGAAUCAGUCACUACUGGAACUGCACAAACUGGCCACUGACAAAAAUGACCCCCAUUUGUGUGACUUCAUUGAGACACAUUACCUGGAUGAGCAGGUGAAAUCCAUCAAAGAAUUGGGUGACCACGUAACCAACCUGCGCAAGAUGGGAGCCCCCGAAUCUGGCAUGGCGGAAUAUCUCUUUGAUAAGCAUACCCUGGGAGACAGUGAUAAGAGCUAAGCCUUAGGCUAACUUCCCGAUAGCCACGGGGUGACUUUCCGUGGUCACCCAGGCAGUACCUGCAUGUUGGGGUUUCCUUUACCUUUUCUAUAAAUUGUACCAAAACAUCCACUUAAGUUCUUUCAUUUGUACCAUUCCUUCAAAUAAAGAAAUUUGGUACCC